rnacentral:rRNA from 1 species
CAACAGGGAUUCCCCUGGUAACGGCGAGUGAAGCGGGAACAGCUCAAAUUUGAAAUCUGGCCCUCGGGUCCGAGUUGUAAUUUGUAGAGGAUGCUUUUGGUGCGGUGCCUUCCGAGUUCCCUGGAACGGGACGCCUUAGAGGGUGAGAGCCCCGUACGGUUGGACGCCUAGCCUCUGUAAAGCUCCUUCGACGAGUCGAGUAGUUUGGGAAUGCUGCUCUAAAUGGGAGGUAUAUUUCUUCUAAAGCUAAAUACUGGCCAGAGACCGAUAGCGCACAAGUAGAGUGAUCGAAAGAUGAAAAGCACUUUGAAAAGAGGGUUAAAUAGCACGUGAAAUUGUUGAAAGGGAAGCGUUUAUCACCAGACUUUUUCUGGGGGGAUCAUCCGGUGUUCUCACCGGUGCACUUCCCCCAGUUGAGGCCAGCAUCGGUUUUCGGAGGGGGAUAAAAGCUUCGGGAAUGUGACUCCCUCGGGAGUGUUAUAGCCCGUUGCAUAAUACCCUUCUGGGGACCGAGGUUCGCGCAUCUGCAAGGAUGCUGGCAUAAUGGUGAUCAACGA